UAAGGAAUAUUGCUCAAUGGGAGAAAUCCUGAAGCAGCAACGCCGCGUGGAGGAUGAAGGGUCUAUGACUUGUAAACUCCUGUAAAGAAGGAAAAAAUUCCCAUUUGAUGGGAGAUGAUGGUACUUCUGGAGUAAGCCCCGGCUAACUACGUGCCAGCAGCCGCGGUAAUACGUAGGGGGCAAGCGUUGUCCGGAUUUACUGGGUGUAACGGGUGCUCAGGCGGAUUUGUAAGUCAGAGGUGAAAUCUUACAGCUUAACUGUGAAACUGCCUUUGAUACUGCAAGCCUAGAGUAUGGAAGAGAGUGAUGGAAUAUCUGGUGUAGCAGUGAAAUGCGUAGAUAUCAGAUAGAACACCAAUGGCGAAGGCAGUCACUUGGUCCAUUACUGACGCUAAAGCACGAAAGCGUGGGUAGCAAACA
rnacentral:rRNA from 1 species